rnacentral:rRNA from 1 species
GAUGAACGCUGGCGGCGUGCUUAACACAUGCAAGUCGAACGGUGAAGCAGGAGCUUGCUCUUGUGGAUCAGUGGCGAACGGGUGAGUAACACGUGAGCAACCUGCCCCUGACUCUGGGAUAAGCGCUGGAAACGGCGUCUAAUACUGGAUAUGUGAUGUGACCGCAUGGUCUGCAUCUGGAAAGAAUUUCGGUUGGGGAUGGGCUCGCGGCCUAUCAGCUUGUUGGUGAGGUAAUGGCUCACCAAGGCGUCGACGGGUAGCCGGCCUGAGAGGGUGGCCGGCAAGACUGGGAGUGAGACACGGCCCAGGCUCCUACGGGAGGCAGCAGUGGGGAAUAUUGCACAAUGGGCGGAAGCCUGAUGCAGCAACGCCGCGUGAGGGAUGACGGCCUUCGGGUUGUAAACCUCUUUUAGCAGGGAAGAAGCGAAAGUGACGGUACCUGCAGAAAAAGCACCGGCUAACUACGUGCCAGCCGCCGCAGUAA